rnacentral:rRNA from 1 species
GAUGAAUGCUGGCGGCGUGCCUAACACAUGCAAGUCGAGCGGCAGCGAGUUUUACACUGAAUUCUGGAAGCUUCUGAGUAGUACAGAAGAUUUAUUCAAGAGUUUUGUGUAAAAUGUCGGCGAGCGGCGGACGGCUGAGUAACGCGUAGGAAUUUGCCCCAAAGUGAGGAAUAACUGCCCGAAAGGGUAGCUAAUGCCGCAUAUGGUCUUCGGAUUAAAGCCUUCGGGCGCUUUGGGAGAAGCCUGCGUUGGAUUAGGUAGUUGGUAGGGUAAUGGCCUACCAAGCCGACGAUACAUAGCUGGUCUGAGAGGAUGAUCAGCCAGACUGGAACUGAGACACGGUCCAGACUCCUACGGGAGGCAGCAGUGAGGAAUCUUCCACAAUGGGCGAAAGCCUGAUGGAGCAACGCCGCGUGAAGGAUGAAGGCCUUCGGGUUGUAAACUUCUUUUAUGAGUGAAGAAUAUGACGGUAACUCAUGAAUAAGCACCGGCUAACUACGUG